AUUGAACGCUGGCGGCAUGCUUUACACAUGCAAGUCGAACGGCAGCGCGGGCUUCGGCCUGGCGGCGAGUGGCGAACGGGUGAGUAAUACAUCGGAACGUGCCCAGUAGUGGGGGAUAGCUCGGCGAAAGCCGGAUUAAUACCGCAUACGACCUGAGGGUGAAAGCGGGGGAUCUUCGGACCUCGCGCUAUUGUAGCGGCCGAUGGCAGAUUAGCUAGUUGGUGGGGUAAAGGCCUACCAAGGCGACGAUCUGUAGCUGGUCUGAGAGGACGACCAGCCACACUGGGACUGAGACACGGCCCAGACUCCUACGGGAGGCAGCAGUGGGGAAUUUUGGACAAUGGGCGAAAGCCUGAUCCAGCAAUGCCGCGUGUGUGAUGAAGGCCUUCGGGUUGUAAAGCACUUUUGGCGGGAACGAAAGGGACUGUGCCAAUACCACGGUUCGAUGACGGUACCCGCAGAAUAAGCACCGGCUAACUACGUG
rnacentral:rRNA from 1 species